GCAACCAACCAAGAUAUGAACUGAACUAUAGUAUCAUAUUAUUAUUUACUAGAUCAAUCAGUCAAGAUGACCAGAGUUUACGACAACUGGGACAGGCUUGUCGGAGCUACGUUGCUUAGGGAGGAGCUCCGGCUCAUUGCUCAAAGAACUCCCAGCGAUAUUUCUUCAGCAUCACCAUCACCUUCUUCAACAUCAUCAUCAUCAUCAGCCAGGAAGUCAUUUACAUAUGAACAAAUCCUCCAAGCCACCCACAACUUGAGCAGCUCCAACUUGAUCACGGCUGGCCUCACGGGGGAUCUGUAUACAGGUGUUUUAGAGGGCAGAAUACGGGUAGUAGUCAAGAAAGUCCACUCGUCCUUCACGAAAGAGGACUUUUACCUGAAACAGGAAUUGUUAUUUUAUUCCAAAGUUACUCAUCCUAGAUUUGUCCCUCUUUUGGGGCAUUGCUUGGAGAAUGAGAUGCACAAGUUUCUUGUUUACAAAUUUAUGCCUCGUAUGGACUUGUACAGCUUUUGGUUCAAGAAAGCUGUUCAAUCUCACAAUGAUGACUGUUUAGAUUGGUUGAGCUGGGACAAGAGAUUAAAGAUAGCAAGAGGAGUUGCUGAGGGUCUGGAUUAUUUACACCAUAAAUGUGAUCCACCACUUGUUCAUAGAAAUAUUGAUGCUGGCGGCAUACUUCUUGAUGAUAAUUUUGAAGCGCGGCUAGGGAGGCUUAAUCAGGUCUGUACUGAGGUGAAAGAGACAAAUCGGAACAAGGUGGCUAGGUUCCUGCAGUUGACAAAGGAUUCUGAAAAAAGAAAUCCUGGUCUUGUACAGGAUAUAAAUCCUAGCUUUCCAUACUUGCACUAAAGGAGAUUGGCAGUUAGGAGGAAUUGUUCCUUCCCUUCUUCCGUUUCGGCAGCUCCUAACAGUUCUUCCCACCAGAGCCAAAAACUAUUCAUGUGGCUAUUCAAUCCAUACCACCAUUCUGGUGAAGCUUUGCAGAUAAUUUCAGCAUGCACUAGAAAAGCAGUUCCCGUGUCUCAGUCCAAUCACCACAUAUUAACAUACAGGAUCACCUGAUUGACAGGUACAUCUGAAGCAACAUGUGCCUUCGAUGUUUUUUGCUUUGGGAAACUUUUGCUCGAGCUAGUCACAGGCAAGCUGAAUUUCAGACCUCCCAAUUUUCCCAUAAUGAAGGAUGAUAAGAUGGCAAACACCUUGUCUUACAUCACUUCACUUGCUAAGAAGCUUAUUGGAAACAUUGUGGACCGGUCUUUAAUCAUUGAUGAGGAAAUUUUGAUGGAGGUAUGGGCUAUAGCUUUUGUUGCCAAGGCCUGUCUCGACCCCAAGCCCUCUAAGCGACCAGAACUGUCAUUCAUACUUGAGGCUUUACACAAUCCUAUGACUGUUGUAACCGGUAAGGCAAAAAUACCCAAAAGACUGAAGGCAGGUAGUGUGGCAUUGGUCUAGAUUCCAGAGUUGAAGUCCUUGUUUCAUUUUCUGGGCAUGGCUAAACAUGCAUGCUUGUUCUUCAAUGGCAAAACAAGGUUCUAUAUUUAGAGGGGCGUAUUCUUGUCCACAUGCAUGAAUGAUGUAGUGGCUUGUUUGUCCACUACAAUGAGCAAAUUUUUAUAGGGAUUGUGCAAAGCUUUGCUGUUACUUCGAUUGUAUACAUAUCUGGUACUAUAGGAAUAUUUCGAAAAUAAUCUGCACAAAGGUAACUUUGUUAGAUAAAAUCUUAUAGUGCCAGUGGAACUCAAUCUCAACUGUUAGGAUGGUGUCAGUCGGACGCAAGCGUGCAAAACAAAGCAAGGUGCACAAUCUUAAACUGUCUGUGUAAGCCUUAUUUUAAUUCCAUUUUUUCUUUGGACUGCUACUA